rnacentral:lncRNA from 1 species
UUUUGUCAUACAAGUAUGAAAAAGAAACAAUGAGAUGUGGUUUGAUUGCCAAUGAAACCACUGUAGCAACGAUAUCUAGAAUUGUGUGCGUGAAUCAUGUAAAUGUAUGUCAUAUCGCUUAUUGUUCUCUGGUUUUUUUUUAUUUGUUGAACAAUCUCGCCCUUAUACCCCAUGUACAUGUAUUGCAUUUGACAUUAGUUGUCUAAGACAUUAUAAUUCAUAUGAAAACCUACCGAAGUAAGUAAUGUUAUCGAAUAACAAAGUGAUCUCCUCGUCUGUUAGUGGCUUAGCCUUUUUAGAUUUGUUGCCCUUUGGCGUUUUGUUUUAACAGCUUUUGCUUGGCCUUCAAUGUUUGUCUGGUAAGGUGAAAACUCUCAUCAUUCUCAUCCCCAACGAUAUUCUCUCAACACUACUUCUGAAUCCACUGACAGUUGAAGGUUAAUAUUCUUGGUCAUGUUUUUUCGUGCAGUAAGCACAGUUGGAAAGAGAAAAUCGAGCUCAGAACCUGGUAUAGUUUGUAUUUCUCUAUUUUUAUUUAUAAAACAAAAUUAAGUUACAUAGAAAAAAUGAAAGGAAAAUUUAAAACCAAAAUAUCUAGGAAAAUUCUUGAAACGUUAAAUCAUUGGAAAAUAAAAUAACAACCUGAUUCAAAUAUUGAAUCUUUAUUUAAUUGUUUUAAAGGACUAGAAUCAAUUAAUGUGCCAAAUAUUUGCCAGGUAUUGCCACAGAUCGACAUGGGGAAAAUAAUGAUGAUAUAAAUCUCACUAUUACAAGGGCGAAAAUAGAAGUGUGAAUAAAGCCCCAGUCCCACUAGACCACGAUCGCACCACGCUCACCGCGAUCUAAAAUGAAUUCAGAUCGUGGUGAGUUCGCGGUAUGAGCGGCAUGAAAAUGUAAAUUUUCGUUGCUUUCACGAUGCCACUACGUCCUCAUUACGCUUCUACAACGAUCCCGCUACGAUUAUACCACGUUCUCACCGCGCUUAUUCUGCGACCUCACUACGCUUAUCAAGAUCUUUCUACGCUCAUCCCGUUCUCACUACGACCAAACCACGAGUUAUCCGAUUGCAACACGAUCUUACCACGCUUCUACUGCGAUUAUAGCACGUUCUUACCACGA